AUUGAACGCUGGCGGCAGGCCUAACACAUGCAAGUCGAACGAGUGGCGGACGGGUGAGUAAUGUCUGGGAAACUGCCUGAUGGAGGGGGAUAACUACUGGAAACGGUAGCUAAUACCGCAUACCAUCGGAUGUGCCCAGAUGGGAUUAGCUAGUAGGUGGGGUAACGGCUCACCUAGGCGACGAUCCCUAGCUUGCCUGAGAGGAUGACCAGCAACACUGGAACUUAGACACGGUCCAGACUCCGACGGGAGGCAGCAGUGGGGAAGAUUGCACAAUGGGUGCAAGCCUGAUGCAGCCAUGCCGCGUGUAUGAAGAAGGCCUUCGGGGUGUAAAGUACUUUCAGCGGGGAGGCGUUACCCGCAGAAGAAGCACCGGCUAACUCCGUGCCAGCAGCCGCGGUAAUAC
rnacentral:rRNA from 1 species